rnacentral:rRNA from 1 species
UACAGAGGGUGCAAGCGUUAAUCGGAAUUACUGGGCUUAAAGCGUGCGUAGGCGGUCAUGUAAGUCGGGGGUGAAAGCCCCGGGCUCAACCUGGGAAUUGCAUUCGAUACUGCAUGGCUAGGAUGCGGAAGAGGGAAGCGGAAUUUCCGGUGUAGCGGUGAAAUGCGUAGAUAUCGGAAGGAACACCAGUGGCGAAAGCGGCUUCCUGGUCAAGCAUCGACGUUCAGGCACGAAAGCGUGGGGAGCAAACAGG